UACAGAGGGUGCAAGCGUUAAUCGGAAUUACUGGGCGUAAAGCGCACGUAGGUGGCUGGGUAAGUUGGAUGUGAAAUCCCCGGGCUUAACUUGGGAAUUGCAUUCAAGACUGCCUUGCUAGAGUGUGGAAGAGGGAAGCGGAGUUCCAGGUGUAGCGGUGAAAUGCGUAGAUAUCUGGAGGAACAUCAGUGGCGAAGGCGGCUUCCUGGUCCAACACUGACACUGAGGUGCGAAAGCGUGGGGAGCAAACAGG
rnacentral:rRNA from 1 species